rnacentral:misc_RNA from 1 species
UGGUUCUGGCAUCGAUGAAGAACGCAGCGAAAUGCGAUAAGUAAUGUGAAUUGCAGAAUUCAGUGAAUCAUCGAAUCUUUGAACGCACAUUGCGCCCCUCGGUACUCCGGGGGGCAUGCCUGUCCGAGCGUCAUUGAAGACUAUCAAGCCCGGCUUGGUCUUGGGCGAGGUCUAGAGACCCGCCCGCAACCCGUCGGCGGCGCCCGCCAGCAGAUUCCACCCAUAGUUUGACCUCGGAUCAGGUAGGGAUACCCGCUGA